rnacentral:lncRNA from 1 species
GCCGGUUACCGCCCCUGUGCAGCUGCUGCAGGACAGACCGCCUGGCUUGGCCACAGCCACAGGGACAUUUGGCCCUGCAUCCGAGAUGUGGGGAGUGUGGGCUGGCUCGGGAGUUGCCUGGAGGCUGCUGCCUGCACGCAGAAGGCGGCUGCAGCUCGGGUGCCCAGGCGAGCUGGAGGUGCGUGGCCUGGUUGGCCUUGGGAUCUAC